GUGUGUUGGUUCCUGGAUCUUCACAAUUGCAGGUUUUCCCGUUAUUACUUCCAAUAACACAACCCCAAAGCUAUAGACGUCGCUUUUCUCAUUCAGUUGAUUUGUAAUAUAGUACCUACAUUUUUGAAAGUUUAUUUAAAUAUGUUUUUACCAAUUGAAUCUGCAUCUAAACUGAGUAAGUAGUACAUACUCGGGAUCAAGAUAUCCUGGAGUGCCCAUAACCAUGGUCGUCACAUGGGUGAUGUUGUCAUUUUGGAUGAUUUUAGAUAAACCAAAAUCUGAAAUUCGAGCUUCCAUGUUUUUAUUCAAUAGUAUAUUACUUGUUUUUACAUCUCUGUGAAUUAUAGCAGGUUUGCAACCCUUGUGGAGAUACUCUAAACCUUGUGCAGCAUCAACCACUAUUUGUAGUCUCUUUCUCCAAGACAACACUGAUGCUCUUCCUGCAGAUUUACCCAUGUAAGUACUAACUACUAAGUAGUAUAUAUAUAGGCUUUAUUUUACGAAUACGAAAACAAAGUUUCCUUGGUAUUUUUCUGAAAACAUUAAUAGUAAUUAGGGACCUGAGAGAUGGCUUUCAAGGGUUCCCUCUUCCAUGCAUUCAUAUACUAGUGCUACAUGAUCUUUAUCAUAGCAGUAGCCAACCAAUGGUACCAGGUUCCUAUGAUGGAUUCUUGUCAACAAUUGAGCCUGAAAUCAUGAAAACAAAAAGAAAUAGAAAAUUAGUUUGCAAUCAAAAGAAAAUGAAAAAUAAAACUGUGUAUAUACUGUAUAGGAAUAUAGCCACCUCAUUUUGGAAUUCUUUUGGACCCUGUGAUGAUAAUUUUGAUAGAACCUUAAUAGCAACUUCAUUUCCAUUAUCCAAUACCCCAUGGUAGACAAUUCCGAAUCCUCCCCUGCCAAGUUGUUUGCUAAAAUUAUGUGUUAUACUCACUAGUUCUUGAUAACUGAACUUUCUACUAUCGAACGUCAGUUCUGAAUCAUUCCUCUGGUUCAUCCAGUAUCCUGAAAACAAAAGAAAAAUCAAACUCAUGCUAAUUUAUAGUCUAAUACUAAUACCAUAUUUAUUGAAAAUUGAAUUACUUUAAUCCUUCGCUAAGAUCACAUAUAUAAUACCUUGUUUUUUCUUUCUCCGUGCAUAAAUUAGCACCAUCAAAAGCAGGAAAAAUGCUGAACAAAUAGAUGUAACUAUGAUGAUUACUGUUUUCGGUGAUUUUGCUGGUUUUUGGUAUUGAUCGAAACUGCAUUCAUUGAAUGAAAUAUAUAUAUAAGCAGUCUUUAUAUUUAAAUAUAAUAAAAGAAUUUACAAAAUAUGAAUAACCUCAAUGUUAGUAAACCCUUUUCUGAUUUUUCUAGAAGAGCUUUUGGAAUUGGUCCUUCCAGUCCACUGCCGGUCAAGUUCCUGCACCCAAUUAUUCCACCAAUUUAAAAAAUUUAUGAUUGCAUCGAUCUCAUGUGGUUUCUUAUACUAUUAUCACUACUUACACUCUUACAAGGAUUUAAGGUAUCUCAGGCUUGCAAGAAAAUUUGGUAUUUCUCCUCUCAAGUUAUUUACUGAUAAAUCCCUAGAAAUUUACAUAGGUAUUAUUAAUUAUAUAUGGAUUUAAUAUUGAAAUUAACAUAACAAAUUGAAUGAAUAAAACAAGCACCUACAGAUAUUCAAGUUGUGAUAGAUUUGCAAUAGAAUCUGCCAAUUUACCAUUUAAUUGGCUAAAUGAAAGAUUCCUGCACAAUAUGUAACUGAGAUUAGAUAUCCACAGAAAUAUUAUUUUCAAAGCAAUGUUUAAUAAGACUCACAAGGAGAUAAUUCGAGGUGGCUUGCCCACUACAGUUGCACACCUGAGGUCUUUCCAGAUUAAUUCGGAAGGAAUACAUGGAUCUCCCAUCCAAUUCUUCUUCACUUGGUAUUCAUAUUUGAUAUCAAAUAUGGCAUCAACUGAACUUCAAAAGAAAGAAAGCAUAAUAUGGAUUGACAAUAAAUAAAUACACAAGCCCCAAAAAUAUCAUAUUCCAGUACUUACCAUCUUGGCUAUUUGUAUCAUUUUCCCUGAUUGGUUUGGCUGCAUAAAUCUCAAGUGCAUUUAAGAUCGGUGGAAGAGUAGAACCAUUGACACUAUAAAUAGAGACCAUUAGUUUUUCAUAUCUUUUGGGUAUUUUAUUGGAUAUGGUUGUGAUGGACAGGUACUCAGGAGUAACAUUGGAACCGAUUAUUUCAUCGUUGAAUUUGACGUCGAAUAUUCUAGAAUUGUUUCCGCUUGAAGGUAGGAGUUCUGCGAAAUGAAGAAAAAUAUAAUAUUCUGCCGGCCCAACUCCAUAUUCUGUCCAUUUGAAGCUUGCUGUCCAAUUAAAGUCUAUUUUGGUACCACCAUCUUUGGGGAUUGCUGCAGUUUUCAUUAUUUCUGAAGGUACUUGGUAUCCUCCAUUUGUGUUUGUUAUAAUCUCAUUAUUUGUCUCUAUGUGACUCCAAAUGUACGGGUCGUACGGAACCCAUAAUCGAUCAUAUGAAUCAUCUGGGUACCUAAAAAUAGAGAGAAAGAAUUUGGUUAGACCCACCCUCACAGAAAUGCAGAAUUACUAAAUUCUGGUGCGGUUUGAAUUAAUAUUCAUAGUUAUUAGUAAAUAGACUGAUAAUAAUUAAUGUUUCACAUGCAGAACACCAAUUUUUGUCUGCUAAUAACUCUGAAUGUCACUUAUUUUGCAGAUUUGUGUGUAUCUCACCUUAUCUUUGAGGUUCUUUUGGCCUCUCCACAGUCCCGGGGAGUCUGUAAAAUCAAUGAAUUAAAAGUAUCGACUUCCUUAUACAGAAAAUGGCUCAGAGGUCUCAACUCAAGAGUAGAUAUGAAG
rnacentral:lncRNA from 1 species